GCAUAAUAGAAGGUAACGACUGUUGAUAGUGUGUUUUAUUUGAUUACCAUUGAAAAUAAAAAGUACAACACAGUUCUUUAUUUUUUAAGCUCCCUCCUUUACUAGCUUCAUAACCAAUGAUACCUGUGGCAGCUUGUGUUUCCUUAUUUUAGUGCUCCCUUUGGUGAAUCGGGAAAAAAAACUUGUGGCUUUGAAAGUCUACAAAUACAAUUAGGGAUGUAAAUAUAUAUGAUAUUAACCCAUAGGUUAACAAUUUUACAUCUGUCUUAAGGCAAAUGUUGCCCCUUGAAGAAAGUGCACGGUCUUAUGAAAACUCAUGCUUGAAAAACAAAAAAAUGUCAUUUACUGCUUUUAAUGCUGACAUUUAAAACCUUUUGCUCUUAUACAGAUAUAUAGCAAUGACUUGGUACCAAGUUUAAUUUGAUAUUGUAUGACAAAAAACAAAAACAUGCUACCAUUGUUGAGUGUAUUUUCUCUAAAGCAUGUGUUAACAGUAUGAGUUAUUUCCCUUUUAUAAACUGUGUUUAUUGAUUUUAUCGUGGUAUGUGCUUCCUGCAGUAUCAAAUAUGUUGGUUUAUUGUUAUUUUUUACUGUCACUAGGAAAUGUAAUCAUGUAUUAAACAGAGUAUGCAAAAUUUAAGACAUGUAUGCAGUACAUGUUUAAACAUUUUUUAUAUCGACUCCUUUUUUUUCUUCUCUUUUACAGUGACUUGACUGUUAGUGUUGCUAUCUGACUAUUACAACUCAUUCAAAAUUCUGACCAAAUUGCAAUUUGUUUUAUAAAACCAAACUGUUCAACUGGUCAGAAUUUUGAACAAACUGUUCAGUCAAAUUGUGAAAGUGCAAGGUAAUAAAAUAAAAUACACUUACAAUCCUAUAAGACUUUAACUCCACUUUGAUGUUGAUGUGACAAAACCAGUCUAACAGUUUGUAUAGAUAUAUUAUAGUCAUUACCAUGCAAAAAGUGAAAUGUAAUUUUGAAUUGCUAUAAAAAUGUCCAAACUAAGCUUUCAUAUAAUUUUGAAAAGUCUUCUAUAUUCAUAAGAAUCAGACAUCAUUUGAAUUAAAACAUCAUAUAUUCGGUAAAAUAUGUGUGAAAUAACAAUACUUUAUUGAUAAGUUUCCAUGGGGAGAUAACCUAAAACAUUAUUCUGUUGAAUGAAGACUUUUUGAAAGAAAAAAAGAUUAUCUCCCCAUGGAAACUUCCUACAAACAUAUUGUAAUUUCACACAUAUUUUGCUGAAUAUGAAAUGUUUUAAAUCACAUAAUAUCUAUUUCUUGUGAAUAUAAAAGAUAUUUUGAAAGAAAAACUAUAUAAAAGCUUAGUUUGGACAUUUUUAUAGCAAUGCAAAACUACAUUUCACCUUUAGCAUGAAAAUGACUAAAAAAUAUCUAUACAAACUGAUAAACUGAAUUUUCACAUCAACAGUAAUGUGGAGUUAAAGUCUUAUAGGAUUGUAAGUAUGUUUUUAUUUAAUCACCUUGCACUUUCACGACUUGACUGGGAUUUUCUACAGCAGUUUGUUCAAAUUUCUGACCAGUUGAACAGUUUGGUUUUAUAAAACAAAUUGCAAUUUGGUCAAAAUUUUGAAUGAGUUGCAAUAGUCGGAUAGCAACACUAACAGUCUAGUCACAGUGACACUGUUAGUAUUCUUUGAAAUGUAAUUAAGUAAAUAUUAACUUAUAAGAGUGAUACAUCUUGAAAGCAAGCAAAAAAAGAAACAAAAGAAUGAACUGAUAGAUUUAAAUUUUAUUAUAUUAGCCUGCUUAUUGUUAGAAAUAAUUAAUGAAAAAAAAUAUGUUAAGUAAGUCCCUCAGCAUCACUGCUCCCUUUGUUCCAAAUUGAAAAUUUGUCUAAUCAAAGAAUUUCAAAUGAUUUUUUUUCCCCAGAUAAGUACUUUAAUCUGCCAUGACUUCAGUUUUCAGUAUGAGGCAAGGCUUUCUUAUUUUUUGGAAAAUUGAUUCUUAAAUAAGUAAUUUCCCUUUUUAAAGGUUUCAGUUGUCCUUUUACAUCACAUGUUUAAAGAAGACCAUUUUGAAAUUUCCCUUUUAUUUCAGAUCUCUAGAGUUAAGCAGCAGUGGGAAUUUGGUAAUUGUACCAACUCCUCACCUUCCCAGUAGGUCAAGGUCACCUCCACCGGUACCAGUCCAUAAUAGUCAGUCAGCUACCUCAGCUCUUAAAACCUCCAUUUUAUCUAGUAAAUCUUCUGUGACCAGUAGAAACUCAUCAUCCACAGCUAGCAAACCUUCAUCCUCCACAGGGAGUAAACUUAAUUCAGCAUUUCAGGUAAAUAUUUUGGUAUGAUAUAAUUAAUGUGGGUUAAAGUUUAAUUUUGGGGGCUUUCUAAGUACAACAUCCAUAUUGGUUCAAAGUAUGGAAUGCUUGAUAAAAACUAUCUUAUUUUUAACUUAGUUUAAAUUUAUUUAACUUGCUAAUUUAAAAAUAAAUGAUGAGACACAAGUAAAUCAUAUUUCAGAAGUCUUCUCCAUAUUUCUAAACCUAAUGACAGGGCUUUCAAAUCAUACAAUCAUCCAUAUGGUUUUUUUGCCACCACACCAUGUUGCCACUUUAAUUAAUGUUUUAUCUUUCUUUCUAUAAUUUUCAAUGUUAGUGCAAAUAAUAUAAAGUCCAUAUCUUGAAUACAUGUUGAAGAAAAACCAAUAGUCAAUAUUGUGGACUAAUUAUUUUUUGGAGAAUACUGAUUUUCAUGGAUUUCUUGUGUAUAGAGAAAUACCAAUUUAAAGACAAAACGUAGUACAAAAGUUUUCUAUAUGCAGGUUGUAACAAAACUACGAAAUCAACAUAAUUUAUAGGGUUAAAUAUUUAAUAAGCCCAAAAAUUUACCUUUUCCUAUUAAAAAAAACAACAUUUGAAUUCUUUCAGGAACCUGGAACUUCUAGAAAGUUUGACAAUUCAACAGAAGCUCAAACAGGACCAGCAAUAGUAGAUGCCUCUAAAAUUUCUGGUAUUAAUAGUCCUGUGUAAGUACUAGUAUAAGUAUAUUCUACAAUGUUCUAGCAAAUAUUUUAAAGUUCUAAAGAGUUUUACUGGGCAUUUUGUUAGUUAGAAAGACUUGCUAAUCAAUCCGAUGAUCUUGUGGUAGCCUACUGGCCUUAAGUAUAGGAGGUUUGGGUUCAACAUAUGAAUGUCUGACAUCCUAAUCCUUUUAUAACAGGUCACUGGUGGAUCCUUGUCUCAUUUGUAUUUAUACCACAUCUUGUUUAUAUAAACAUUUUUAAAUUGGGUUGUGGAUUUUUUUGCUGUUUACCUGCAUGGAUCAUUUAGGAAAUAUAGUUUGAUCUUAGAAAGGAUAAUGUGCCCAUAAGGGGUUACAUGUCUUUGCACAGUCUUCUUCUUUUUGAAACCAAAACAUAUAUAUGCUAAAUAGCUCAGUGUUUUAGUAUUGAUAUCAAGGCUAAAUUUUUUUUUAUUAAUUUUUGUAGAUAUACAGCAUUAUUUAAUUAUAAACCCCACAGAGAGGAUGAAAUAGAACUGAGGAAGGGAGAUUAUUACACUGUGUGUGAUAAAUGUCAAGAUGGGUGGUUUAGAGGACAGUGUUUAAAGACGGGAAAACCUGGUGUUUUUCCUGGCAAUUAUGUUCAAAUGGUCAGGUAAUGUAUUAGACUUUUGAGUAUUUUAUUUGUAGUACUAUUAUUUAAACUUAGAUUGAAAGUUAUACUGUAGAAAGUAUGACAUAUUUUGCAUUGGAGUUAUUUCCCUUGGGCUCUUAUAUCGGAGGUCAAAGAUGAUAAUUUUGUUAUUUCGUCUAACCAAGUUUAAACAUGUGAUACCAGGGAAUCGGAUAAGAGAUUCUUACCGGCUUAUUCUUUUUCAAUAAGUGUAUAAGAUUUUUUUUAAAUAUUGAUUUUCACCUGAAAUUAAUUGAGAAAUCUGAAAAUAAAUCCCUCUUUUCAUUUUACUUUGAACUUUGAUCUUUUUUCAGGUUACCAAGUGCAUUUCUUCCUGUCAGUGGUAAUGUGAUGAACAUUCAUUCAAAAGGAAGCCAUUCUCUGGCGUCAUCGUCGUCAGCUCCUGCUGUAACUAUGUCAACUUCGUCAGGUCACAGAACAAGUACAUCACCAAUCAGGCCAGGGUCUACACCAUCGCUUCAGAAUUCAUCAUCACAGCAAGCAGAAUCAUCUUCUGGUCCCCCUCCCAUUACACCAAGAAGCUCAAAAUCAUUAGCCAAACUUUCAUCCUCAGCGCCAUUACGAUCAUCAUCUAACAGUAAAACCUCAUCUCAUUCUUCAGCGAGUAGCAAAUCGUCAGCAACAAAAUCAACAAAUUCUGGAUCAUCGUCACCUAGAUCAGCUUCUAGUAGAUCAUCAUCAUCAUCACUUAAGCCAGCAGAUAGCAGUGGAACAAAAGCGAAAUCCCCACACCGCCACACCAAUCAUAAUGGUCCAACAGUAGGUAUUGAAGGUCAUCUUGACCUUAGUGUGACCUCAGGACAUUCCAGUCAUCGUACAUCUAGCUCAAAACAAGUUGUUUACAGAAAGCCUAAUGCUGUUGGGAUGCCACAAGUAAUGUCUGCCUCCUCAAAUAUUACACCACCUAAUGUUGUGGCUGGGGCAACAGGUGAAAUACCUGGGAUCAAGGAUAAUAAGGUUUGUAUAUAUCAUACUUUUAUUUUAUAAGUUUUGGUUUAGGAUAAGUAACUUUAUAGAUUUCUAGAUCAACACUUUCAUAUUUUAAAAAUGCCAAUUUUUUUAGCUUCAUAUGUUGAUGCUACUUCAUGAAAGAAUGGUGUAAGAUUGGGUUAGACCAAAAAGGCAAAGUUUUUUUCUGAUUUUAGGAAAACAUCUGGCGUUAUUCAGUCGGGGAAAUUAAACAUGUCAAGUUUGUUCUACGUUUGUAAACAAUAUUCCUAUUAUUGUGUAUACAAUUUGAUUGCAAUUAUUUUUGUUUAAAUCAGAAUGCUUCAUCAUGAUAAAUGUAUUAUUCUGUUGGGUUAUUUUAAGAUUUCAGAUACUAUAGUAUAUAAACAGUCCUUCUUUCCAGUGUUUUUGAUUUGAUUUGAAUUUUUUUAUUAUUUAUGAAUAGAAGGACAAGAAAGAAAAGGAAAAACUAAGUCUGGUAAAAAGACUGACCUCUGGUAAGAGCAAGAAAUCAAAAUCCCCUGGACUUGAAAGUGAUGGGUCUGGUACUGAGAGUAUUGGUAAUCAUGUCAGGUAAGUGUCUAGUUUAGAGAAAUUUUUUAUAUUCAUUUUCCAGAUAACAGCUGAUGCAUAUAUUAAAAUUAUGUUUUGGUCAAAUUUUUGUUAUGCCUGCAAUUCUCUGAAAAACUUGACUUGAUGGGAACCCAUGGUGUAAGGAUUUGUUUUAUAGUCGUGCAGCAUGUCAUUUAAAUUUGAUAAAUGUUACAAAACAAUUCCAUACCAUAUCUUUCACCAGAUUUUAAUGAUCCAUUUUAUUACUCAUGGAAUUAUUACUGCUCUGUAGGAAAACUAGUGGAAUCAUGCCAAAACUGGUAAAGUAAUUGAGAGAGGCAUUAGACAACAUUGAAUGGUAGUUCUAGUUAAUUCAAAAUGUUUGUAGUUAGAUGCAUCUCUGUUUUUUUCAGAUCUGGGUCUUGUCCAGCAGAUAGUAAUAGUCUGUUUGGAGCAGAGGGAAGUCAGCAUAUGAAAACUGGUUCCUUUGAUUCUACUGUACCUCUUGUACCUCAGCAAAAAAUAAGUAGACCAAAACCUGUAGUUAGAGAAAAGUAAGUAAAACUUUAAGACAAAAUACACAUUUUGAAAUCAUUCAAAAAAAGUAGGGGAUUUUUCUGUGUCAUGUGAAACUAAUUUGUUUCUAUGAAUGUAAGGCAAGUCAAUAAGGUUUCAGAGAACAUUUAAAUGCAUAUGAAACCUCAAAUUAAAAAAAAAUGAUGCAUAUAUGUUUUUUAUAACAAAAUGGAUAGUUUUCAUUAUUAAACUUAUGUACAUAUACUUUUUUCUGAAGAAAAUUCUUUAAUUUGUCUACAUUUAGACGAAGCUUACUUUUUUUAAUUGCUUGCUUCCAGACCCUGUCACUGAAAUAAACUAUUAUCUGAUUGUACAUGAUGAACACGUGCUAAAUAUCCAUGCUUUUUUGUUGACUGUUUACUAUAAGGUGACAAUCGGUAAACUUCGGUGUCAAAACACGGCAUUUAAUGAGCUGCCAUAUUUGUUAAAUCAUAACAGACAGAGAGAAGAAAAAUAUUGACGAUUAUACGAUAUAUUUGCGUAAAAAAUUAUAAAAUUGUGCACAAAAGACUAAGUUUAUGAUAUAUACAUGCAUUGGUUCAAGAAUUGAAUAAUUAAUAUUGUUCACCAGUUAAUCGUUUUAUGUGACUUUAAUGGAUUUUGAUGAUGUCACAUGAGACAACACACUUUGAAAUGAAAGGACCACUGUAAUUCUUUGAACAUCAUAUGAGAAUUCUCAUUUAAGAGCUGCAUUGGAUGGAUAUCAACCUUAUGCAGAUAAAUAUCAAUACAUAGAUAUUAUUUCUCUACACAAAAAUUGUAACUGUUUGAAAACUGUGAUGGUAUAAGAACCCUACAAAACAAGACUAAAUUCCUUUUUCUGCCAACACUCAAAGUCUAAUAAAUGUCAUGAUUCUAAGCACUUCCUUAAGGUCGACUUCUAUCUGAAGCAGCUCAUAUAUUUAGAUUUAUUUUUCUGCUUGUAAAGUUAGAUAUACCAUGUUUUACAGAUACAGGUGUGUUGUUCCUUAUCCACCUCAGAGUGAUGUUGAACUAGAACUUAAAGUAGGAGAUGUUGUUUAUGUUCACAAGAAAAGGGAAGAUGGAUGGUUUAAAGGAACACUUCAACGAUUGGGAAAAACUGGACUUUUUCCUGGAAGUUUUGUAGAAAAAUGUGAAAAUGUAUGAAAAUUAUCAUAACAGCACAAUGAAUGCAAGUGUUGAUACAUGUAUGCAGUAAUGUCCAUGUAUGUGAAAUUGUUUUAUGAUAUGAUAUUGUGUAAGUUCUUUAGAAGUGUUGACUAGUUUUUGUGAUGUUUGAAUAUUUGAUAGUUAAAUAGUUAUUGAUUUUAUGGUUUCAUAUUUUUCACAGGACAAAUAUUUUUUUAUUAAUUUGUAUAUAAAAAAAGGAAACCAAUGAAAAUUCCUUCCCAACUAAUAAGAGUUCAAAGAACAAAUGGAUUUGUUUUUGUUAGCUCACCUGGCCUAAAAGGCCAUGUGAGCUUUUCUCAUCACUUGGCGACCGUCGUCGUCGUCGACGUCUGUCGUCGUUAACAAUUUUUCAAACAUCUUCUCCUCUGAAACUACUGAAUGGAUUUGAAUGAAACUUAGCAUGAUUGUUCCUUAGAUUAUCCUGCACAAAGUGUGUGCUUCGAAUUUUAAUCCGUCAAAAAACAUGGCCGCCGUUACUCAAAAUAGAACAUAGGGGUCAAAUGCAGUUUUUGGCUUAUAUCUCAAAAACGAAAGCAUUUAGAGCAAAUCUGACAUGGGGUAAAAAUGUUCAUUAGGUCAAGAUCUAUCAGCCCUGAAAUUUUCAGAUGAAUCAAACAAACCAUUGUUGGGUUGCUGCCACUUAAUUGGUAAUUUUAAGGAAAUUUUGCAGUUUUUGGUCAUUAUCUUGAAUAUUAUUAUAGAUAAAGAUAAACUGUAAACAGCAAAAAAUGAUCAGCAAAGUAAGAUCUACAAUAAGUUAAUAUGACCAAAAUUGUCAAUUGACCCUUAAGGGGUUAUUGUCCUUUAAUGACAAUUUUUCACAAUUUGUUCAUCAUAUUUGCUAACUUUAAAAAAUCUUCUCCUCUAAAACUACUAAACCAAAUUCUACCAAACUUCAACUGAAUGAUCAGUAGGGUGUAUAAAAUAAAGUUUGUGCUUUAUUUUUUAUUUCGUCAAAAAACAUGGCCGUCAUGGUUAAAAAUAGAACACAGGGUAAAAUGCAGUUUUUGGCCUAUAUCUCAAAAACGCCAGCAUUUAGAGCAAAUAAGACAAGAAGUUAAAGUAUUUAUUAGGUCAAGGUCUACCUGUCCUGAAAUUUUCAGCCGAAUUGGGUAACUGGUUUUUCAGGUAUAAUGCCCCUGAAUUGAUGAUUUUAAAGAAAUUUUGCAGUUUUUGGUUAUUAUCUUGAAUAUUAUUAUAGAUACAGAUAAACUGUUAAUAACAAAAAUGUUAAGCAAAGUAAGAUCUACAAAUAAGUCAAUUUGACCAAAAUUGUCAAUUGACCCCUUAAGGAGUUAUUGCCCUUUAAAGACUUUUUUCACAAUUUGUUCAUCAUGUUGACUUACUUUAAAAAAAUCUUCUCCUUUGAACUGCUGUAUCAAUUUCAGCCAAACUUAGGCUAAAUGAGUUUCAGAGUAUCUAGUAUAAAUUUUAUAUUUCAUUUCCUUGUAUGUCAGAAACAUAGCUCCUAUGGCUUAAAUAGAACAUAGGAGAAAAUAAUUUUUUUUUUGCUUUUGAAGAAAAUAGGACGAUUCAAAGAACAUUUAAAUAAAUUGAAAAGCCAAAAUAAUCAUUGAUGAGAGAUUUAACCAAAAAAAUUAAGGUGAGCGAUUCAGGCUCUUGAGAGCCUCUUGUUUUGAAAGUUUAAGAAUGAGGUAGGUUUCUUCUUACAGAACAUGUCAACUUCAAUGUCAUUUGGUCCUUGGUGGAGAGUUGUCUCAUUGGCAUUCAUACCACAUCUUUUUAUUUUAAUGUGUAUAGAAAUUCUAAAAUAAAGAUUUCAAACUUAAGAAAGCUCAGUUAGCAACAAUAGGAGGAUAGAACAAACCCCUGAUAAAUAAAUGUUGCAUUAUUUUUCAAAACUAUUAAAAAACAAGAUAUAAAGCAAUGUUGGCAUUUAUAUCACUGUGUCAGUCAAUUUUGUAAAUAUUACAUGUUUAGUGCCACACUUAUCAUAAUGCUGUAUUAGCUGACAGUAUAUAUUUAAACUUAGUGCUGUUACCUCACCUGAAUUAAGGACUAUUUGAGGAUUAUCAUGUGUCAUCUAUUCGACUAUCAUUUGUUUACAUUCAAUAUUAUUAAUGUCAUCUUAUGAAUGGUACUUUUUUGGCAUGGAAGAACUAGAAAAUGGAAAAAGGGUAUCUGUCAAAAUUUAGGUCUUAAAAAAAGUCUAAUGAAAAUUAGUUAAUUACACUAUUUAGUACAAUCAAAUUUUAAAAGUUUCAUACUGACAACUUCCUGGUUAUUAACAGUUUCUACAUGACACUUUAACUUGUGUGUUCCAGAACUGUGUAUGUAAAUACUUUUGACAGAAGGUGAUAUUUAGUAAUGUUGGAAAUAAAAUUUAAGAUUGUUGCAGCAGAAUAAAAUUUUUAAUGCAAUGUAAUUCAUCUGGCACGAAAAAUGCCUGUUUUGGUAUAAUAUUUUGUUUAUUUAUACAUGCAAGCCUAUGUAUUUACUUGAUAUUAAAUUGUAUAUAAUAUUCAUUUAUGCCAUCUAUUGUACAUUUUUCAAGAUGAGAUUGUCAAUAUUAUUAUUGGGCUUUGACCUUUUACUUUGUUUGAGGUCAUAUGCAAUGUUCUUGAUGCAUUUGAAAAUACUGAGAACGGAAAGUAGGUUAUGGAAAACUAUUUUUUUUCUAAAAAAAAAUGUAUGCUGAAUAUAUAUAUCUA
rnacentral:lncRNA from 1 species